AUUUCCUUAAAGGAGAGGCCUCCAGUGCACCUCGUCAGCUGCACUCAGCUCUUAAAUGCAGCUAUUCACAGAGGGCCCAGGCUCUCCCCUGCCCUGUGACACUACGUGGGACACACACCUCCACAGGGCCUGCUAUCUGUCAUGUGAUGCUAUGCUGGGGUCAGGUUGAAGCUUGGUCUCUUAUUGCUAUUAGGAGUCUGUUCUGUCCGUCUCAGGAUCCCUAAUUUAAUGUUAAUGCUGGUCAGCUGUGCCUGAACUCCAAAGGGAGGAGGGUGUGAUGAGGGAAUUUGAAGAAUCUCCAGGAGGGCCAGAGAGUAGACUUGGAUGCCACCCAGCCAGCAAUAGAGAAGUUGGGACCACCCAGCCAGGGACAAGGCCACACCUCAGCCAUCACCACCCACAAGCAACGCAGCAUGUAUGAGCUGGGACAGGACACCAGAAACUACCUCAUGAUUGCUCCGGAAGAAGCAGCUGCAGGUGCUCAGCCAUCUUUAUUUCCUGCCACCCCCAAACUAUGAAGACAGCAAAGCAGCCUGUGGAGAGGCUGCUCACAGAGGCAACCCCACCCUUACUUGGUGAUGGCACGUGGAACUCCACCUCCCAGGUGGAAAAUGGAAAAAUUGUUUCCUUCUCUGAUCUACUGCCUGAGCUGUCAUCAGGAUUUUGAGGACUGACUUAAUGAAUAAAAUAUAAAGGCUUAGCGUGAGCCUGGGAUAUGCAUGGUGGAAGAGAAUAAAUAGCCUUUUGUAUAUCAAAGAUACUUUCUGGGUAACCCAAUCUGAGAAAUAGCUACUUCAGCCACAUCUGCUGUUAGGGAAGGCUGAGAAAAUAGUGACUAUAAAAUGAAAUGAGGCUUGUAGGUGAACCACAUGAAAUCCUGUGAACCGGGGAGAAGUCACCAGCUAUUACAAUGGAGUCUAGCUAAGAAGGGGCACGUGGGGGUGGGGAGAUCGUGACCAAUCAACAGUGCAGCUUGAAAAUGUGGGUUUUCUCUUGGGAAGCUUCAUUCCCUGGGAAGGAAGAAGCUAUAACGAAACAGGAGCAAUGAAGCUUUGCCUGGAGAGGAUGCUGCUCACAUUUGCAUGUUAAAUGAACUGAGGCCUCUCCUGGCUCCCCUUGGAGGGCUCUCAGAGGCAGCUCUAGCCUCAGAGGGUCUCUUGCCCACAUCUUACUCUGGUUCAGAGCCCACAUCCCCAAAGAGAGCCUUGUACACAGCAGGUAUUCAAUCAAUAUUUGUAUUAAAUUGCAUUUUAAAAGCUGAUUACUUGAGUGACCCCUUCCCCUACCCACCCCCAAAGACUGUCCUCCAGUAUCUCUUUGUGCAUAUCCUGAAUUCAAGCUGCAGUGAGAGGCUUUAGCAAGAGAGAGAAAACCCACUCUAAAAGCUUCAUUUGCGACAAUUUCCAUUUUAUUUCUCACCACCACCAGCCUUUGGACGAACAGGUCCUAAAGAGCUAUGGAAACAGCAUCGUGGAAACAGCACGGUGAGUUUCAGACUUGUGUGGCUUGGCAGGGCAGCCUUGUUUUUAGUUGUGGUGGCUUGCCAAAAAGGCUGGCUCUCCCUCAGCUAGCUCCCCUGGGCACUGUUACCUCCAGUAGAGCCUCUUUACUCUGAGGGGUGGCCCCUGCAAGGAGGUCCCUGCUUGGCAGCUUUGUCUUGCUCAUAUACUGGGUAUAUCCCCUGGAGGGAGGCAUGAGGCUCUCGGGUGGCCUUCAUUCUUACACCCCUGCGUACACCUGUGUCCAGGUACCACCACCUACACACUGCCCAGGCCUCUAAGUCCACACGCUCGGAUUCUGGUUGCUUUUAUUUAUUUCUUUAUUUAUUGACAGAGUCUCAUGCUGUCAUCCAGGCUGGAGUGCAGUGGUGUGAUCAUAGUUCACUGCAGCCUCAACCUCCUGGGCUCAAGCAAUCCUCCCACCUCAGGUUCUUGAGUAGCUGAGCCCAAUACCAUGCCUAGCUAAUUCUAGUAGCUUCUGAUAAAUUCUCUCUGUUUACUCAAGAUACAGUUAUUGAAUGACUGGUCUGGGCCAAGCAUUAUUCUCGGCGCUGGGGAUGCAGCAGGGGGCCUGGAUCAUACUCAAGGUCACUAGAUACUUGUUACAUGAGUGAAUGAAGUCAUUCAGUACUCAUUGGCUCCACUGGGCUCUGACUUGCUGGGCAUGACAAGCCCACCAGGGAGCCCUGGAUAUCCCUCCUCUUUCCAAGCAGCUGGGGAAGCUGGUUGCCCUGGAAACCUGUUUUAGGUGGCAGCAUCUUCCUCCAGGAGGUCGAGGUGUCUCCUGGACCUUAGAGACUCCAGGACACAGGACAGAGCUCUGAACUGUGGAGCCGGGAAACCUGGUUCCAGUCUCAGCCCAGAUUUACCAGCCGUAGACUUGGCCAAGUCACUCACAAAACCCAAAGGGUGAGGCAGAGCUGGCCCUGCCUGCAUGGCAGGGAGAUUUUGAGAAGCAUGAAGAGAGUCAGGAAGUGCCUGGGGAUCGAAUCCACCCAGCAGUGCAAGGCAUUGCUCUCCCAAUUCUCCAUUGGGAAAAAAAAAUCCAGACAAAGACAGUACAGAGAAUAUGGUAGCCAAUACUGCAGCAGUCACCACCCGGAAAAACAGACACUAAUAUAAUAACUUGUGAUUUUUGCUUCAUAUCUCUGUGGCAUAAAACCAUGACACAUAAAGUUUAUGUCCCCCUUUAACCAUUCCUCAAUGCUAUUCCCCUCCUCUCUCCCCCUCCUCAACGGCAACCACUGAUAUGUUCGCUCUAUUCUGUGCUUUUCAUAUUUUAAAUAUAUUGUUUAUGGGAAUGAUCAUAUAUAAGAAAUAUAUUAUACUGUUUGUUUUAAAAGUUUGCAUAAAUAAUAUCAAAGUAAAUUAUUUAAGUGUCCCCAGCAGUCCCUGUCCCCGUCCACCUUUCCCUCAGUUCUCUUCCAUCACAGUAAAGAAAACUGCCCAAACCUGGUCACCGCCCCUGGACUUUCGAAGUGGCUUCCUACUUGGGGUCCUGCUUCCAACAUUGGCCCUGUGAGUGACAAGGAUCUCAUUCCUUUUGUGCUCAAAGCUCUGGCCUCUCUCUCCCUCCUUGGCCUUGCCCAGCCCAGCCCCACCCCUGUCCUCAGAACCUCACACCUGUCGUUCCCCACCUGGGGUGCCCUUCCCGCUGGCUGGCCCCUCACCUCUCUCAGAUUUCUGCUCUAAUGACAGUAACUGGAGAGGCCUUGCCUGAAGUCCCCUCCUCUUUCUCCUUACCUUGCUUUUUGGUUAUGCAUCCUCCUCCUAAUUGCUUUAUUUAUUUAUGUGUUUAAUCACCAUCCUCUUACUUUUCUAAGGCUCGUCCUGAUUUUUUUCACAUCCUGGUAUCUGAGCCGGCAGUGAUUCUAUACCUGGCAGCAGCCUGUGCGGCAGAGCUGUGUGUAAAGGGGUCCAUGCAGAGCCCUGGGAGAAAGAAAAAUGAAGGGGAAAAGGUUGACCUGAGCUUUUUCACCUGGGGCUGGAAAGUGGACCAGAGCCUAUCAUUCCAACCUGCAGGUGCCUAAGGCCCAACAGAAAGUUCACCAGGAAAGACCAAGAGAAUUGGGGUGACCCUCCCACAGUAUCAGAGGGAAGGGGAGUGGGGAGGAGUACAGCAGUGCAGACCAGCCCCACAGGUGCUUAGCCAGGCCUUUGGUUCUGCCAGGGAAAGGAGGGUGCCUUCCACAGCAUGAAAACUACACCACGUCCCAAUGUGUCCGGGACCUGCCGCCAGCCGCCUGCACAGUAGUCAGGUGGAUGCCACCGGGAUACAGCCCACACUGACUCCUGACCCCAGGGGGUACAGCCCACGCUGACUCCUGACCCCAGGGGGUACAGCCCACGCUGACUCCUGACCCCAGGGGGUACAGCCCACAUUGACUCCUGACCCCGGGGGUUACAGCCCACACUGACUCCGGACCCCGGCGUGGGAGGGGCUGGCCCGAGAUGAAAUCUCGAAGGUGGGUCAGGCUAGGUCCUGGAGUCAGGGGAAGCGUGGGGUUCAGGCCAGGCCUGGGUUCUCCCUGAAGUGAGGCUGACUCUGAGCCUUUCUUGAAACCCCAAAUGUCACAGCAGUGCCCCGAAGGUAGGUGAGGCUCUGUUGCAGGGAAUGCUGAGGAAAAAGGGAACAUCAGGGAUUGGUCUGGCCUGAAGCCUGCACUCCCCUAAAUUAUACCCUGGUAUGAUUUGGGCUUGCCCUGGAGUUACCUCAACUAACCUGGGGUCCUUGGGGGAAACAGAGAUGGACAGGGUUGAUGUAUAUUUCGGGUUGAUUUGGACUCUAAGGAUUAUCCCAGCUCAGACCUCGCUCUCAAGGAAUAGGAGCCUGGCAUCUGUCUAUCACCCCCUUGGCCCUGGGUAUAGUCUGGAUGAGCAGAGGCACGCGUGUGGCCCCAAGAGUCCCACCCUCUGGCUCUCUCCUCCCAAGACAUUCUGGAGCCAUGACAUGUCUCCCAGGAAGGGAGAAUUAUUUUUGUCUGUGGCAUAAAUAAAGCCAGGAAUGAGUUCCAAUAAUCACAAGCACAUGCCAGCAUGUGGAGGCUACUCUGACAGCAGCAGAAGGUUCCAGCACUGCCUGCCCUGCUGGUCCUGGCUGCAGGGAGGUGACCGGGAUGGUCAGGGGUCGGGAGCAGGAGGGAGCCUCCAGGAUUUUAUUUAAAAUGAUCAGGUUUUUCAAACAAAUGGAAAAAUAAAAAAAUCUUGAAAACAAAUCUUUUAAAAAUUUACCCACUUCACUCCAGAUCUUAAGAAAUAAAAAUAAAACAUGACUAUUCCUCUAGAAUCCUGACCCAUACCAUACAACUCUCUUCCCAGAGGUCAUUGCCAACAUCGAUUUCUAUUUAUUUUUCUCAUGCUUGCUUUAAUAUUUCUACUAUAUAUGUAUGCAUCUAUAAAUAAACUCUAUGUGACAUUG
rnacentral:lncRNA from 1 species